CUUUUCCAUUUAACAGAUUCAAUAUAAUGAUAAAAUAAAACAAAACAAAACUACACUAAUAUUGCUUCAGUAUUUCUUUUUACAAUAGCUUUGUCAGGAAAAAAAAUAUGAUUCAAUUUAAUACACUUUGUCAAGAUGGUAAUAUUCCUUUUAGUUCAUAUAACAGUGACAAUUUACUUCAGUGCUACUCUAAUUAGGUCCAAUGCUACACACCUGCUCAUGGUGCAACAUUGAAAGGUUUGUCUGUGACUCACCAAUUCAGAAGUCAUGCAGCAAUGCUAUGCAGAUUUCACCAUGGCUCGAUUCACACAACACAUCUAGAAACUUUCAACAGAAAUACAGGCUGUUUACAUUCUAAUUUGAUAAUGUUAUUUUGUGUGAUUUCCCGUUUAACUUCAUGUAUGAUUACCGUGCAGCAGCAGCAGCUCUUCUCCCCACAGAGUCACACAGGAUUCAGUUGUUUGUCGUGAGCUGUCAGGUGAGCUUGUUGAAUUUGGAAGAGACGACUCAGCCUUUAUAAGUGCUCUUGACAUGCGUGUUGAUGGUUUUUAGGGGGAGGAACUUUCUUAAUAUGGUUAACAGGUUUUACUGUUUCAACUUUUCAAUUCAACAGAAGUAAAAAAGAAUGUGGAGAUUGUGUAACAAAUUCUCAACAUCAAGCAUUUCAGAUAAGAUCACAAGACAGCAGUUACAACAGGCUGCCACUUGUUCAGUGUCCUCACAACCUGUCAAAAACUAAAACUUCCAGGGAAGCUCUGCUGCGUACUCCAGAAUAUUUACAUGACUGCAGAUUGUCAUUAUAACCAACUCGACAGUGUAAUGCUCACCUUUGAAAAGUGUGUGGUCCUUUGGAGGAAUCCCCGUUUCUACCAUGUCAGAUAGAGGAGCAGACAGCAUGUAUGGCAUCGUGUGGGUAAGUGGUUUGCUAAUGUCACGAUGUGAACAGUGUGCCCCAUGCUAAUGGUGAUGUUAGUACAGGCAGGCAUACAAUGACAACAAACUAGGUUU
rnacentral:lncRNA from 1 species